rnacentral:rRNA from 1 species
UAAGCGAAUAAGCGUACACGGUGGAUGCCUAGGCAAUCAGAGGCGAUGAAGGACGUGCUAAUCUGCGAAAAGCGUCGGUAAGGUGAUAUGAACCGUUAUACCCGACGAUAUCCGAAUGGGGAAACCCAGUAUCCAAUGGAUACUAUCAUUAACUGAAUCCAUAGGUUAAUGAGGCGAACCGGGAGAACUGAAACAUCUCAGUACCCCGAGGAAAAGAAAUCAACCGAGAUUCCCCUAGUAGCGGCGAGCGAACGGGGAGCAGCCCAGAGUCUUAAUCAAUAGCAGUGUCAGGAGAACGGUCUGGAAAGUCCGGCAGUAAAGGGUGAUAGCCCCGUAUCUGAAGAUGCUGUUGUUGUGAACUCGACGAGUAGGGCGGGACACGUGUUAUCCUGUCUGAAUAUGGGGGACCAUCCUCCAAGGCUAAAUACUCCUGAUUGACCGAUAGUGAACCAGUACCGUGAGGGAAAGGCGAAAAGAACCCCGGCGAGGGGAGUGAAAAAGAACCUGAAACCGUGUACGUACAAGCAGUAGGAGCCUCUUUAUGGGGUGACUGCGUACCUUUUGUAUAAUGGGUCAGCGACUUAUAUUCUGUAGCGAGGUUAACCGUAUAGGGGAGCCGUAGGGAAACCGAGUCUUAACUGGGCGAAUGAGUUGCAGGGUAUAGACCCGAAACCCGGUGAUCUAUCCAUGGGCAGGUUGAAGGUUGGGUAACACUAACUGGAGGACCGAACCGACUAAUGUUGAAAAAUUAGCGGAUGACUUGUGGAUGGGGGUGAAAGGCCAAUCAAACCGGGAGAUAGCUGGUUCUCCCCGAAAGCUAUUUAGGUAGCGCCUCGUGAAUUCAUCUUCGGGGGUAGAGCACUGUUUCGACUAGGGGGUCAUCCCGACUUACCAACUCGAUGCAAACUGCGAAUACCGAAGAAUGUUAUCACGGGAGACACACGGCGGGUGCUAACGUCCGUCGUGAAGAGGGAAACAACCCAGACCGCCAGCUAAGGUCCCAAAGUCAUGGUUAAGUGGGAAACGAAGUGGGAAGGCUCAGACAGCCAGGAUGUUGGCUUAGAAGCAGCCAUCAUUUAAAGAAAGCGUAAUAGCUCACUGGUCGAGUCGGCCCGCGCGGAAGAUGUAACGGGGCUAAACCAUGCACCGAAGCUGCGGCAGCGACACAAAGUGUUGUUGGGUAGGGGAGCGUUCUGUAAGCCUGCGAAGGUGUACUGUGAGGUAUGCUGGAGGUAUCAGAAGUGCGAAUGCUGACAUAAGUAACGAUAAUGCGGGUGAAAAACCCGCACGCCGGAAGACCAAGGGUUCCUGUCCAACGUUAAUCGGGGCAGGGUGAGUCGACCCCUAAGGCGAGGCUGAAAAGCGUAGUCGAUGGGAAACGGGUUAAUAUUCCCGUACUGGUGGUAACUGCGAUGGGGGAACGGAGAAGGCUAGGUUGUCCGGGCGACGGUCGUCCCGGUUCAAGCAGGUAGGCAGAGUGAUUAGGCAAAUCCGGUCACUUAAUGCUGAGAUGUGAUGACGAACCACUAAGGUGGUGAAGCAAUUGAUGCCCCGCUUCCAGGAAAAGCCUCUAAGCUUCAGGUUACCAACAAUCGUACCCCAAACCGACACAGGUGGUCAGGUAGAGAAUACUCAGGCGCUUGAGAGAACUCGGGUGAAGGAACUAGGCAAAAUGGUGCCGUAACUUCGGGAGAAGGCACGCUGGCGGUAGGUAAAGUCCCUCGCGGACAGAGCUGAAGCCAGUCGAAGAUACCAGCUGGCUGCAACUGUUUAUUAAAAACACAGCACUGUGCAAACACGAAAGUGGACGUAUACGGUGUGACGCCUGCCCGGUGCUGGAAGGUUAAUUGAUGGGGUCAGCCGUAAGGCGAAGCUCCUGAUCGAAGCCCCAGUAAACGGCGGCCGUAACUAUAACGGUCCUAAGGUAGCGAAAUUCCUUGUCGGGUAAGUUCCGACCUGCACGAAUGGCGUAAUGAUGGCCAGGCUGUCUCCACCCGAGACUCAGUGAAAUUGAACUCGCUGUGAAGAUGCAGUGUACCCGCGGCAAGACGGAAAGACCCCGUGAACCUUUACUAUAGCUUGACACUGAACAUUGAGCCUUGAUGUGUAGGAUAGGUGGGAGGCUUUGAAGUGUGGACGCCAGUCUGCAUGGAGCCAACCUUGAAAUACCACCCUUUAACGUUUGAUGUUCUAACCUAGGCCCAUAAACUGGGUCGGGGACCGUGUCUGGUGGGUAGUUUGACUGGGGCGGUCUCCUCCUAAAGAGUAACGGAGGAGCACGAAGGUUGGCUAAGCAUGGUCGGACAUCAUGCGGUUAGUGCAAAGGCAUAAGCCAGCUUGACUGCGAGAGUGACGGCUCGAGCAGGUACGAAAGUAGGUCUUAGUGAUCCGGUGGUUCUGAAUGGAAGGGCCAUCGCUCAACGGAUAAAAGGUACUCCGGGGAUAACAGGCUGAUACCGCCCAAGAGUUCAUAUCGACGGCGGUGUUUGGCACCUCGAUGUCGGCUCAUCACAUCCUGGGGCUGAAGUAGGUCCCAAGGGUAUGGCUGUUCGCCAUUUAAAGUGGUACGCGAGCUGGGUUUAGAACGUCGUGAGACAGUUCGGUCCCUAUCUGCCGUGGGCGUUGGAAGAUUGAGAGGGGUUGCUCCUAGUACGAGAGGACCGGAGUGAACGCACCACUGGUGUUCGGGUUGUCAUGCCAAUGGCAUUGCCCGGUAGCUAAGUGCGGAAGAGAUAACCGCUGAAAGCAUCUAAGCGGGAAACUUGCCUCGAGAUGAGUCUUCCCUGUCGCUUUAAGCGACCUAAAGGAACGUUUAAGACUAAGACGUUGAUAGGCUGGGUGUGUAAGCGUAGCGAUACGUUGAGCUAACCAGUACUAAUGAACCGUGAGGCUUAACCU